GAUGAAGAACGUAGCGAAAUGCGAUAAGUAAUGUGAAUUGCAGAAUUCAGUGAAUCAUCGAAUCUUUGAACGCACCUUGCGCCCUUUGGCCAUUCCGAAGGGCAUGCCUGUUCGAGCGCCAUUGUAAUAUUAAGGCCCUGCCUUGCGUUGGUAGAAAUCCAAACUUUCAGUUAAUGGGUUCUACAGAAACUCUAGUGGCAUCAACCUGUAGUCCAUCAGCACAGAAGCAUGAUUGAGAUUACAACGGUGAUUGCCGAUUACAAUUAGCACUCUUGGCCUCGGAUCAGGUGGGGAUACCCGCUGAACUUAAGCAUAUCAAUAAGCGGAGGA
rnacentral:misc_RNA from 1 species